rnacentral:rRNA from 1 species
CCUACGGGAGGCAGCAGUAGGGAAUAUUGGGCAAUGGGCGCGAGCCUGACCCAGCCAUGCCGCGUGCCGGAUGAAGGCCUUCUGGGUUGUAAACGGCUUUUCUCAGGGAAGAAAAAGGUGAUGCGUCACAAACUGACGGUACCUGAGGAAUAAGCACCGGCUAACUCCGUGCCAGCAGCCGCGGUAAUACGGAGGGUGCAAGCGUUGUCCGGAUUUAUUGGGUUUAAAGGGUGCGUAGGUGGCCCGUUAAGUCCGGGGUGAAAGCCCACAGCUCAACUGUGGAACUGCCCUGGAUACUGGCGGGCUUGAGUCCAGACGAGGUUGGCGGAAUGGAAGAUGUAGCGGUGAAAUGCAUAGAUAUCUUCCAGAACCCCGAUUGCGUAGGCAGCUGACUAGGCUGGUACUGACACUGAGGCACGAAAGCGUGGGGAGCGAACAGGAUUAGAUACCCUGGUAGUCCACGCCGUAAACGAUGGAUACUCGCUGGUGGCGAUAGACAGUCACUGGCUUAGCGAAAGCGGUAAGUAUCCCACCUGGGGAGUACGCUCGCAAAGAGNGAACUCAAAUGAAGUUGACGGCGUGAGACGUAGCCGACGGACGACGACGAGGGAGGAGG